UACGUAGGGGGCAAGCGUUGUCCGGAAUCAUUGGGCGUAAAGCGCGUGUAGGCGGCUUGGUAAGUCCGCUCUGAAAGCCCGGGGCUCAACCCCGGGAGGCGGGUGGAUACUGUCAAGCUCGAGUCCGGAAGAGGCGAGUGGAAUUCCUGGUGUAGCGGUGAAAUGCGCAGAUAUCAGGAGGAACACCAAUGGCGAAGGCAGCUCGCUGGGACGUUACUGACACUGAGGCGCGAAAGCGUGGGGAGCGAACAGG
rnacentral:rRNA from 1 species